GGCCCGAUAGCUCAGUCGGUAGAGCAGUGGAUUGAAAAUUCACGUGUCGGCGGUUCAAAUCCGUCUCGGGCCA
rnacentral:tRNA from 1 species